CUGUCCUGUGUUGCAACCCGAAAGGGCACUCUCAGGAGACCGCCAGCGAUAAGCUGGAGGAAGGUGGGGAUGACGUCAAGUCAUCAUGGCCCUUAUGUCCAGGGCUACACACGUGCUACAAUGGGCGGUACAAACCGCAGCAAACCCGCGAGGGGGAGCAAAUCGGAAAAAACCGUUCUCAGUUCGGAUUGCAGGCUGCAACUCGCCUGCAUGAAGCUGGAAUCGCUAGUAAUGGUAUAUCAGAACGAUACCGUGAAUACGUUCCCGGGCCUU
rnacentral:rRNA from 1 species